rnacentral:rRNA from 1 species
UCGAGGGGCAGCAUUUCAGUUUGCUUGCAAACUGGAGAUGGCGACCGGCGCACGGGUGAGUAACACGUAUCCAACCUGCCGAUAACUCGGGGAUAGCCUUUCGAAAGAAAGAUUAAUACCCGAUGGUAUAAUCAGACCGCAUGGUCUUGUUAUUAAAGAAUUUCGGUUAUCGAUGGGGAUGCGUUCCAUUAGGCAGUUGGUGAGGUAACGGCUCACCAAACCUUCGAUGGAUAGGGGUUCUGAGAGGAAGGUCCCCCACAUUGGAACUGAGACACGGUCCAAACUCCUACGGGAGGCAGCAGUGAGGAAUAUUGGUCAAUGGGCGCAGGCCUGAACCAGCCAAGUAGCGUGAAGGAUGACUGCCCUAUGGGUUGUAAACUUCUUUUAUAUGGGAAUAAAGUUUUCCACGUGUGGAAUUUUGUAUGUACCAUAUGAAUAAGGAUCGGCUAACUCCGUGCCAGCAGCCGCGGUAAUACGGAGGAUCCGAGCGUUAUCCGGAUUUAUUGGGUUUAAAGGGAGCGUAGGUGGACAGUUAAGUCAGUUGUGAAAGUUUGCGGCUCAACCGUAAAAUUGCAGUUGAUACUGGCUGUCUUGAGUACAGUAGAGGUGGGCGGAAUUCGUGGUGUAGCGGUGAAAUGCUUAGAUAUCACGAAGAACUCCGAUUGCGAAGGCAGCUCACUGGACUGCAACUGACACUGAUGCUCGA